GUGCUCGCUUCGGCAGCACAUAUACUAAAAUUGGAACCAUACAGAGAAGAUUAGCAUGGCCCCUGCACAAGGAUGACACGCAAAUUCGUGAAGCAUUCCAUAUUUUU
ensembl:snRNA U6 U6 spliceosomal RNA